ensembl:misc_RNA
UGGGCAGCCCUGGAGUCUGAAGGCCUCUGUUUAUCCACAGAACAGGUCUGAGCAGUGCAGGCUUCCUGGCCACAGACACAUACCGCACUGCGCCAAUAGGUCUCACCAGUGACCUUAAAGGACCUCUUCUAGAGGGUGAUGAGACCAUUAAGCUUCCAUGGUCCAUUUAGUCCGUAGGAGGCAUCA